AGCAGCCGCGGUAAUUCCAGCUCCAAUAGCGUAUAUUAAAGUUGUUGCAGUUAAAAGCUCGUAGUUGAAUUUCGGGAUUGACACAUCGGUCGUGCCUUAAGGGGUAUGAACUGGUGUAGUCAAUUUCUCACCUUCUGGAGAACCGCGAUGCCCUUAAUUGGGUGCCGCGGGGAACCAGGACCUUUACUUUGAAAAAUUAGAGUGUUUAAAGCAGGCAUUUUGCUUGAAUACAUUAGCAUGGAAUAAUAAAAUAGGACGGCAUGAUUCUAUUUUGUUGGUUUCUAGGAUCACCGUAAUGAUUAAUAGGGAUAGUUGGGGGCAUUAGUAUUCAAUUGUCAGAGGUGAAAUUCUUGGAUUUAUUGAAGACUAACUACUGCGAAAGCAUUUGCCAAGGAUGUUUUCAUUAAUCAAGAACGAAAGUUAGGGAUCGAAGACGAUCAGAUACCGUGUAGUCUU
rnacentral:misc_RNA from 1 species